GAUGAACGCUAGCGGCAGGCCUAAUACAUGCAAGUCGAACGGAUAUAUGUUUUUCGGAAUAUAUAUUAGUGGCGCACGGGUGAGUAACACGUACAUAACUUGCCCUCAAGCGGGGGAUAGCCUUGGGAAACUGAGAGUAAUACCCCAUAGAAUUAUUGGACGGCAUCGUUUGAUAAUUAAAACUACGGUGUUUGGGGAUAGAUGUGCGUCUGAUUAGCUAGUUGGUGAGGUAACUGCUCACCAAGGCGACGAUCAGUAGGGGGCGUGAGAGCGUGGCCCCCCCACACGGGUACUGAGACACGGACCCGACUCCUACGGGAGGCAGCAGUAAGGAAUAUUGGUCAAUGGAGGGAACUCUGAACCAGCCAUGCCGCGUGAAGGAUGACGGCCCUCUGGGUUGUAAACUUCUUUUGGAUGGGGCGAAAAAACGGGAUUUAUCCUGGACUGACGGUACCAUCAGAAUAAGCACCGGCUAACUCCGUGCCAGCAGCCGCGGUAAAGUAGUCGUG
rnacentral:rRNA from 1 species